rnacentral:rRNA from 1 species
CGCUGGCGGCGUGCAUAACACAUGCAAGUCGAACGAUGAAACUUAAAUGAUUUCUUCGGAAUGAACUUAAGUGGAUUAGUGGCGAACGGGUGAGUAACACGUGAGUAACCUGCCUUACACAAGGGGAUAGCCUCUGGAAACGGAGAAUAAUACCCUAUAAAGUCUAAUCAGCCCAUGCUGGAAAGACCAAAGAUUUAUCGGUGUAAGAUGGACUUGCGUCUGAUUAGCUAGUUGGUGAGAUAAAAGCUCACCAAGGCGACGAUCAGUAGCCGGCUUGAGAGAGUGUACGGCCACAUUGGGACUGAGACACGGCCCAAACUCCUACGGGAGGCAGCAGUGGGGAAUUUUGCACAAUGGGGGAAACCCUGAUGCAGCGACGCCGCGUGAUUUAGAAGGCCUUCGGGUUGUAAAAAUCUUUUUUACGGGAUGAAAAUGACAGUACCGUAAGAAUAAGGUCCGGCUAAAUACGUGCCAGCAGCCGCGGUAAUACGUAUGGACCGAGCGUUGUCCGGAAUCAUUGGGCGUAAAGGGUACGUAGGCGCCCUAGUAAGUUAGAAGUUAAAGAAUAUAGCUCAACUAUAUAAAGCUUUUAAAACUGCUAGGCUUGAGAGAUGGAAGGGAAAGUGGAAUUCCUAGUGUAGCGGUGAAAUGCGCAGAUAUUAGGAAGAAUACCGGUGGCGAAGGCGACUUUCUGGUCAUCAUCUGACGCUGAGGUACGAAAGCGUGGGUAGCAAACAGGAUUAGAUACCCUGGUAGUCCACGCUGUAAACGAUGAGUGUUAGGUUCUUGGAAUAAUCUGGGAGCCGCAGCUAACGCAUUAAACACUCCGCCUGGGGAGUACGCACGCAAGUGUG